UUUCUUCUUUCUCGAGUGAUCCUUGGUGAUUUUUCAAGCUCCCUCGCAGUGUUCAACACCCAAUGGCUCAGGAGAAGAAAAGUCGAAAAAGUGUAGUCACUGGCCUCGUUUCAAGUGACAGUAGGAGAAGAAAUUUCCUUUCAAAACGGAAGAAUGGACUCCUAAAAAAGGCCGCAGAGUUGCAUGUUGGAAGUGGAGCCAAGGUUUUGGUCGUGGUGGUCGCUCCUUCUGGAGUUCGACACACGUACAGCUCGCAUCCUGUGGACGAGAUUUUGCCCUCAACCAGCUCAAGUGUCACAACAGCAAGAGCUGACCCAGUCGCAUGCUCUGCAAGAAGCAGUUCAUAUCCCACCGCGAUGAACACCCCAGAUUCCACCACGAGCCCCACUGAAGAAUGAAAAUAAAAUUUGGACUGCUGGUCCUUCAAA